AGAGUUUGAUCAUGGCUCAGGAUAAACGCUGGCGGCGUACUUAACACAUGCAAGUCGAACGAGGAGCUUCGGUGUAGCAAUACAUCGGAGCUUCGAGUGGCGCACGGGUGAGUAACACGUGGGCAACCUGCCCUAGAGACUGGGAUACCCCCUCGAAAGGGGGGCUAAUACCGGAUACGUUCCUCGGGUCGCGAGACCUGAGGAGGAAAGGCGGCGCAAGCUACCGCUCUUGGAGGGGCUCGCGGCCUAUCAGCUAGUUGGUGAGGUCACGGCUCACCAAGGCUAUGACGGGUAGCUGGUCUGAGAGGACGACCAGCCACACGGGGACUGAGACACGGCCCCGACUCCUACGGGAGGCAGCAGUGGGGAAUUUUCCGCAAUGGGCGAAAGCCUGACGGAGUGACGCCGCGUGGGGGACGAAGGCCUUCGGGUCGUAAACCCCUGUCAGAGGGAAAGAAGGGUCGCCUGGUUAAUACCCAGGUGAUCUGACGGUACCUUCAGAGGAAGCCCCGGCCAACUCUGUGCCAGCAGCCGCGGUAAGACAGAGGGGGCAAGCGUUGCUCGGAAUCACUGGGCGUAAAGGGCGCGUAGGCGGGAUGGCAAGUCGGUCGUGAAAUCCCUCGGCUCAACCGAGGAGCGUCGGCCGAUACUGCCGUUCUUGAGGGAUGCAGAGGAGACUGGAAUUCCCGGUGUAGCGGUGAAAUGUGUAGAGAUCGGGAGGAACACCGGUGGCGAAGGCGGGUCUCUGGGCAUCUCCUGACGCUGAGGCGCGAAAGCGUGGGGAGCAAACGGGAUUAGAUACCCCAGUAGUCC
rnacentral:rRNA from 1 species